GCGAAGGGGCUUCGGCCCUGAGUAGAGUGGCGAACGGGUGAGUAACACGUGGGUGAUCUACCUCUGAGUGGGGGAUAACCUUCCGAAAGGAGGGCUAAUACCGCAUGACGUCCUGGGUUUGAAGACCUGGACACCAAAGUCGGGGACCGCAAGGCCUGGCGCUUGGAGAGGAGCCCGCGCCUGAUUAGCUAGUUGGUGGGGUAAUGGCUCACCAAGGCGACGAUCAGUAGCCGGUCUGAGAGGGCGGACGGCCACACUGGGACUGAGACACGGCCCAGACUCCUACGGGAGGCAGCAGUGGGGAAUUGUUCGCAAUGGGCGCAAGCCUGACGACGCAACGCCGCGUGGAGGAUGAAGGUCUUCGGAUUGUAAACUCCUGUUGACCGGGACGAAUGAGCGACGACCUAACACGUCGGAGCAGUGACGGUACCGGUUGAGGAAGCCACGGCUAACUCUGUGCCAGCAGCCGCGGUAAUACAGAGGUGGCAAGCGUUGUUCGGAAUUACUGGGCGUAAAGGGCGCGUAGGCGGCCUUCUAAGUCGGACGUGAAAUCCCCAGGCUUAACUUGGGAACUGCGUCCGAUACUGGAUGGCUUGAGUGCGGGAGAGGGAUGUGGAAUUCCAGGUGUAGCGGUGAAAUGCGUAGAUAUCUGGAGGAACACCGGUGGCGAAGGCGGCAUCCUGGACCGACACUGACGCUGAUGCGCGAAAGCCAGGGGAGCAAACGGGAUUAGAUACCCCGGUAGUCCUGGCCCUAAACGAUGA
rnacentral:rRNA from 1 species